rnacentral:antisense_RNA from 1 species
UGUUUUGGCAGGCCGGGCGGGCCAGCUUCGGUUGGGCCGUUUCCUUGAGAGCGGUGGUUCGAACCCGCUUCGGCCUGCCCCCAAU